CGACGCUCGCCAGCUUAUAGUGGUAGCUGUUUUUAUCGAGAGCUAUAAUACGUUUGCUGUUCUCUUUUGGUUUGUAGAAAACUUUGAGAACUGUUUAACACGGGAAAUGCCGCCUCAGUCACGUAUGAGUGACUCUAAUGUUUGACUAGUUUUCAAACAUCUCUGUUCUAAUACAUUCGAACGGACUGAAUUUAACUGGGACGUUUGGAAUGCAAAAAAUUGAAAUGUCAUCUGCAAUGGUAAAAUGACAGUUAAACCAGAUUGGAGAAAUAAGCCGUAAUCAAUGUUUCGUAAUCAGUGCGAAUUAGACUAUUAUCUCUCAGUAGAUUGUAAUGUUUGCUACUGAUAUUGUCAAAUAACAUGAGUUCUACCGUU